UACGUAGGGGGCAAGCGUUGUCCGGAAUCAUUGGGCGUAAAGCGCGCGUAGGCGGCCCGGUAAGUCCGCUGUGAAAGUCCAGGGCUCAACCCUGGAAAGCCGGUGGAUACUGCCGGGCUAGAGUCCGGAAGAGGCGAGUGGAAUUCCUGGUGUAGCGGUGGAAUGCGCAGAUAUCGGGAGGAACACCUAUGGCGAAGGCAGCUCGCUGGGACGUUACUGACGCUGAGACGCGAAAGCGUGGGGAGCAAACAGG
rnacentral:rRNA from 1 species